rnacentral:rRNA from 1 species
GGGGGGGGGGGGGGGGGGGGGGGGGGGGGGGGGGGGGGGGGGGGGGGGGGAGGUGGGGGCGGGGGGCAGGGGGGGAGGGGGGAGGAAGGGCGAGGAAUCUGCCGGGGAGGGGGGGAGAACGUCCGGAAACGGGCGCUAAUACCGGAUACGGCCUGAGGGAGAAAGUGGGGGAUCUUCGGACAUGACGCUAUCAGAUGAGCCUAGGUCGGAUUAGCUAGUUGGUGGGGUAAAGGCCUACCAAGGCGACGAUCCGUAACUGGUCUGAGAGGAUGAUCCGUCACACUGGAACUGAGACACUGUCCAGACUCCUACGGGAGGCAGCAGUGGGGAAUAUUGGACAAUGGGCGAAAGCCUGAUCCAGCCAUGCCGCGUGUGUGAAGAAGGUCUUCGGAUUGUAAAGCACUUUAAGUUGGGAGGAAGGGCAGUAAGUUAAUACCUUGCUGUUUUGACGUUACCAACAGAAUAAGCACCGGCUAACUUCGUG